GUGUUGUAAGUCUGGGCCCUGGGGAGGGGCGGGCGUGGGACAGAGGCCUGUAGGGUCUGGGUGGCCGGAGGCUCCCUGCCAGAGUCCACCUUAGGAACACCUUCAAGGUCUUCCCCCAGGUUCUAGAACAAAGCCGAAUCCGGGCUCUCGCUGACGCCCAGGUGGGCCGCUUGCCCUCUAAGCUGAGCGACCUUCCCCCCAGUUUGUCCCCACACUUCCCAGUGGCGGCUGAAGGUCAGGGCCCCCCUGGGGUUUGGCCAGCUAAGGCCAGGGGACUGGUCUACCCUCACCCAGGGUGGGGAUGCCCACGGUGUUCUCGCAGAACUCCUCCUGACAGCUUCUUAAAACAAAGAAAAGCUCAGCAGGAACAUAAAUGGGGGAAAAAUCAAACCUGUCAGCAUGUGCCACAAAGGCAGCCCGCACCGAGCAGGGACGGCCACAGUCCGGACGCCGAGUGACCCCUUCCCGGGGGCAGGUGUUCACCCGUGGAGUGGUUGUGGGUGGGACGGGCACUUGUCCCCUCUUCCGAAAGCCCCGCACCCCGAGAAACCAGGCCGUUCCUAGUUCUCAGACGCCUCAGAACAGAAACCGAGGAGACCCAUGUUCUGCUGGGAAGUCCGGGCUAAGAUUUUCUCUUUUGGGGGGUUUUCUGUCCUCAAAGCAGCCAAGCCCGGGCCUUACCUUCUCUGCUCAUGGGAUGUGGGGGCAGGCGGCAGAGGGCCAGGGUGGCUAUAGUAACUGGCAGGGCAGGAAGCCAGACCUUUGUCCAGUGUAUUUGCUGACCUUGGCCCCUCUCCCGAGGCCUGUGGGCCGAGUGCAGGCAAGCACAGCGUCCCUGGCGGGGGCUGAGGUGGACUUUGUGUCUCCUCUUUUCUGGAGCCCAGGUGUUCCUUGGCCGAGAAAAGGACAGGGAACUUCAGGCUGGGUUUCCUCCAGUGGUAGAGGCAUCUGGGCCUGGCCUUGUGCGUUGGCCCUGACCUGGACAAGGCAGCCCCUGGGCCCUGGGCAGGGGCCCAGCUGCCAGCUGACUGGCGCAUUGCCUCAGUCCUGCCACUUGUGGUCUUGGCCCAAACGGUGCUCCCAGUGUAACUUACCCACACCCCUCGGAGCUCCACCCACUGUGGCACUUGGGGUGCGGGAGCUUCUGUGCCCCGGGAAGAUGCCCUUUGGAACCCCUCUUACCUGGCAUCUGGAAAGAGGAAAUCCGUUUGUGACCCCUUUUUUUGUCACUGGCCCACCAGCAUACCACCCGGACAAGCUGUUUCUGGUGAUAAGGGGGGAAGCCCGCCCCCAGGGCCGCCGCUGUCCCCCAGACGCUGUCCCCACUCUGCUGUCCCCCAGGCUCGCACUGUGGCCUUGAGCUGAGUGAGGGUGCGCUCGCUCGGUUCCGUUUAGUGUUCUAAUGUCUUUAUUUUUUUUUUACUGGCUCCUUUCACUAUGAAAGUUAAACCCUGUCCUUACAAGAAAACCGGGACAGGUAGAAAAGUGGACGGCUUGCUGCAGGCAGGUCUGUUCUCACCUCUAAGGCUGUGCCUUCGGAAGCCCCUCCGCCCUCUAGGCCCUGUGGGCAGCUGGUGUUUUAAGGUGUUUAAUGUCACACACACAUUUUUCUGUUAGCUUUUUGUUACGGAAGUAAUGCAAGGUGCGAAAAACUGUAACCAUUACAGAGACAUAUAAACUAAAAAGAAAAAAAACCCACAGUCCUUCAGACAAGACAGCCUUUCCCCCGUUAACGAUUUCUACUGAAAAACGGAAAUGCGCACAGUCCCACGUAUAUUCUUGCUUUUGCAAAAGCAGGAUUUAUCUCCCAGCUCCGCUGUCAAAAUGGACAUUGAACUUGCAGGAAAGAGCACAGGUGCCCAGUGCCCAAAUCUAGGAGCUGCGGGAAAAGGAGGGCAAGGCCGCCCCGAAGCCCCUCCCCUCAGGGGCCUCCGCCAUCCUCACUCCCGAGGCCCGGGUCCAUCUUAUUGAAAUUUGGUUUCCCUCUGUGGAACCUAGAACUGCAGCCACUGUCCUCAGCCUUGGACCUUCCCAGGAAGGUAUUUUGCCGUCCUGCCUCAGGUGAUGUGACCCUAAUCCGUCCCAGCCUGCUGUCACCAGGAUGUGGCUCUCCCAGGGCUGGGAGGGGCUGGCCCUGGGGCUUUGUCCAGACGUGAUGUGGAAGCUUUGGUGCCUGACCUUGCCUGAGGUGCCCCAGCCAUGACAGAAGUCUGUCAUAGGUGCGGCUUCAGGUCCAGAGCCUGGAGAAGCCACAGUACCGAGGGACCGUCCACUGCUUCCAGUCCAUCAUCAAGCAGGAGAGCGUG